rnacentral:rRNA from 1 species
UACGUAGGGGGCAAGCGUUGUCCGGAAUUAUUGGGCGUAAAGAGCGUGUAGGCGGCCAGAUAAGUCCGCUGUGAAAUCUCGAGGCUCAACUUCGAGCUGUCGGUGGAAACUAUCUGGCUAGAGUCCGGAAGAGGAGAAUGGAAUUCCUGGUGUAGCGGUGAAAUGCGCAGAUAUCAGGAAGAACACCCGUGGCGAAGGCGGUUCUCUGGGACGGUACUGACGCUGAGACGCGAAAGCGUGGGUAGCAAACAGG